CUUUGUCCGCGUGGCCCUAUGUACGGCUGCAACCGGUGGGGGAAUGGAGGGUCGUACCAUGGCUGGUCUCCCCGCAGACGUGGGUUUGGAGAGGUUGUAGGAUGUCAUGUCUGACAACGAAGCCGGAUGGGAGGGUGGCAUUGUUUUGGAGUAUUUGGGUAUGGCCUCCUCGUUCCUCUGCAUAUGUUUGGUGGCCGUAUUCCUGCCCUCAAUCGAUCUUUGGGAUUUCGGUAACUUGCUCGAUCUCUUCUGGAAUUUUAUCUCUCUAAAUCUGAGUGCUCACUCCUUUUUCUUCUUAUAGCUACCCAUCUACGUACGUAACACUCGGAGUAGAAAAUUUCUAAAUUCUCAACACUUUCGCGCCAUGAUUAUACACGAUCGACCAUGUUAUAUCAUC
rnacentral:lncRNA from 1 species